CCAUAGAUAAAACAGGAAGAAAAUUACUCAUUGACAGUAUCUGAAGCAACAAGGCAAUGCUAUAGGAUUUAUCAGCCUUAGUAUGGGCUGUGACUAAAUACCAAAUGCGGAAAUUACAGAAAGAGUCAUAAUAAAGUCUCUCUAGAAAAGACGUCAUUCUUUAUCUUGAAAUUUUAAUAUUUAAUGCAUUUUCAGCAGUAAGGCAAGGACCCCAGAUGAAAGAUAGCCUGAAAUAUGUGCAUUGUUAAUGACCAAAUCUAGGGGUUCUGUCAUUUUUUUUCUUUAAGGAUCCACUAAAUCCAUGUAACAAUGGCAGGUUGUUACAGUAAACAGAGAUGGAAAGAUAUACGUGAUACAUGGGUAUCAAAAUAGCACAGAGGCCCAGCAGGAGCCCAGAUUCAAAAAUUAGCAAUGGGUGGAUCUUUUAUGGACUAUGGCCAUCUGUGUUCAUCUUACACAACCAUCCUCUCACCAGGACUAACAUGAAAAAACUUAAAGUUUUAAGGUGUCCAAAGAUCAUUCUAGAAAUCCAUCCCU
rnacentral:lncRNA from 1 species